rnacentral:rRNA from 1 species
CGAAGGGGGCUAGCGUUGCUCGGAAUUACUGGGCGUAAAGGGCGCGUAGGCGGAUGUUUAAGUCAGUGGUGAAAGCCCAGGGCUCAACCUUGGAACUGCCAUUGAUACUGGACAUCUUGAGUGCGGGAGAGGUGAGUGGAACGCCGAGUGUAGAGGUGAAAUUCGUAGAUAUUCGGCAGAACACCAGUGGCGAAGGCGACUCACUGGCCCGUAACUGACGCUGAUGCGCGAAAGCGUGGGGAGCAAACAGGAUUAGAUACCCUGGUAGUCCACGCCGUAAACGAUGAGUGCUAGUUGUCGGCAGGCAUGCCUGUCGGUGACGCAGCUAACGCAUUAAGCACUCCGCCUGGGGAGUACGGUCGCAAGAUUA